ACAAUUCUUUGGGAAAUAUUUGCUUUCAGACAUUUUGUAAUAUUGUGACGUGUGCACAUUUCUGCAUGGAAGCUUUGUAAUUUUUAAAAAGAUACCAAAAGGAGCAGAAAGGAGACUAAAGGUUUGCACCUGUGCCCAGGUCACAGCAGAGCCUAAUCUGCAUACUCACCUGAAGGAUUAUGGGACAUUGCCAUAGCCCUCCGUAAAUCAGAAACAUGAAGACGAAGAUAAAUGCCCCACAAGGUGCUCUGAGCUGCUCCUCCAACCCAGGAUCUGUAAGCCCUCAUCAGUGCCCACUGCCCUGGACAGACCCCUGACUGUGAUUCCAGGACUCACCCCAGACCCUGCUCUCCUGCCUGCAGCUCACUCCUCUGGGACCCCAGCUUCCUUCUGAUGUCUAAGGCUCAGCUAAACCUCUGGAUCACAAUCCCAUCCUGCCUCUGGCUGAAGGGUAGAGUGACCAUCAGGGCUGUUGUCUCAGACCAACCCCUUUCGCUCAUCUGUCUCUGGACAAAACACCAGGGAAGGAAGCCAAUCCCUUGUCCCUGGUCCCUGUAAGGGGAGACUCAUGCAGAAACACUGCACCAAUGGCCAGCUUGGCUUGGUACCAUCUGCAAACAUAUUCCUUUAAGGCACUGAUGAGAACCCACCAUGGAGGGUUUGAAUUGGUUAAAGCCUCUGUGUGAAUCUACAGUUGGCAGAAUUGUUCUAAUCCUGUAGUGGUAGGUCAGAGACACAGCCAUGACCACUGGCAGUCCCGCUAACAACAGGAGUCCAGUGUGUCCUCAGCAGUUACCAUUAGGAGGCUGGCAAUGCCUGAGGGAUUCUGAUGACGGGAAAAUCGAUUGGGGUUCAUGUACAGGGGAAAGAACUAUAUUUGUCAGGGGAGGAUUUUUGCACAAGAGAAAUGUGAAGGGCGUCUUUCAGCUCAUCCUCUUUCCUCCUUGAGAACAUCUAGUCUUAUUAAAGAUAUAACAAGGAGGAUGGUUCCCACCUUCAUCAGGGCUGGUUAGGGAGAGAAGAUGCCAAGGCAAAGGAGAAGAAGGAGGAAGUCAUCUGUCUGUUGAGGCCAAGACCUCAGGACACCUCUAAGGAGCUCCAAGGAGAGAAACCCAUGCAUGUGCAUGUGAAAAGCAGCAAGAGUGCUCCAGCCUGUGGUCAGCUGCAGGAGACUCACGUGAGACCUGGAUGGUUUCGGACUCCUUUUCUUGCUUCCAGAAUCCCUCAUGUCCUAGCUCAUGGCUCUUCACUCAUAGCCACACCGAUGUUUUCAGCCUGCAUUGGACAGUCCCAUCCAUGGGUCAGGACCUGAUUCAGGGAGGAAGAGAACAGGACGCGCACGUCCUUCAGUCAGUGAGACGUGGCAUGUGCACAAAUAAACCCAAGUCGUGUCAU
rnacentral:lncRNA from 10 species